ACAACCAACAUUAGAUGAAUUAUUGCCAUCUGCUGGAGUGUGGGCCAGAACAUCCAUCUUACCUACCAAAACUACAUUCUUAAUCCCAUUUUUUAUUUUAAAUGUUAUAAUUCCAUUCAUCCUGUCAUAUUUAACCAUGUUUAAUGUCACACCAUGUUUUCUUGCAUCUUGUUUUAAUUUUUUCACUACUCACCCUUUAUUUUUCCAGUGUCUUCUGCUGGAUGUUUACCCGCCAAAUGCAAAGACUGACAGAUAAGCGGAAAUGCACUAUCAAAAUAAAAGCGGGGUCUGGACUGAAUCCUUCAAUGCUGACGCAUCGCCGUUACUGUAAAUCCAACGGUAAACGUCUGGAUUGCCUUUAAAACGGCUCGUUCUUUGUAAGAUGAACUAUUGUUUAAGAAAAGACGAAAUGAAACAACGACGGAGAUGACAGGAAGCGAUUCGGAAGUCCCAACUUCCGGUUAACGGCAAGUGAAUUUGCAUAUUAGCUAUAUAGCUAUCUCAGCGCUUGUUAUUUAAAUAUUUAGUUGAAAACUGUGACGUUUAUAACAUGAAUGAAUCAGUAACAUGGUGAGAAUGUGAUUGCCUUUAAAACGACUUACUCUCUGUUUUAAGCUGAAAUGUUUAAGAAAAAACGAAAAAAAACGAAGACGAAGAGAUGACAGGAAGCGAUUCAGAAGAACCAACUUCCGGUUAUCGGCAAGUGAAUUUAUAUAUUAGCUAAAUAUUUAGCUCUGUUCUAGCUAAGUAAACAGCUAGUUCAGAGUUCAAAUAUUUAGCUUGUAAACAAAGCAUUCUUAAAAUGAACAACACUGUGAAAAUAUGACUGAAAAAUUAACUCCCCAUUUCAUUCUCUUAGUACAGGUUAAAUAACCUGCAGUAAUUUGGCAUCAGAAAUACCAAAUUAUUCCUGGUAAGGUUUGAGUUUACAAACGGCAGCCCAUAAUGUCCUGCAUUUUCUAGAUCCGGGGUGUCCAAUGUGUGGCCCGGGGCCAUUUGUAGCCCUUAAAAUUAUGUUGUUAGGCCCCUAUAUACAAGUGAAGAAGAGUAAAAAGAAUGGCCAACAAAAUAUAAAACAAUUGAUCGCAAAAUGUUGGACAUUUAUGGGAAAUUGUCUGUUUUCUUUUAAUAGGGAAACUGUCUGAAGCCCUUUUUAGGUUUAGGGUCUUGGAAAAAUCACAAAACUAAUUUUUUCAUGUUUAAUUUUGGGUCCGGCAGGUAGUUGAAAUUUGUGAGUUUUGGCCCCAGGUACAAAAAGUUUGAAACCCCUGAUUUAUUCAUUUUAAUCAUCUGUGUAGAAGCAAGGAAACAUGAUGCUGUACUGGUUCUACUGGGACUCUGUCCUUUAAGCUGGUAAAUCUGCGUCACUACCUAACCCUCCUCUUCCUCCUCUUCCUCCUCAGCUGUCAGGACGGUGAAGCUGCCAAAAACUGGGAACAGGAAAAUGAAAAAUGAAAGCUUGGCAUGAUAAAACUGCAGCCAAGGGAGGAGGUGACGGCUCAGCUGACCUUUUGACCCCUGAUGGAGGGCAGCGGGCCUGAAUGCUCCGUGUGGCUCUGCGUGUCAUAGCGGCAGAACUCCGAGGCCCACGGCCAUUCCUGUGUGAGCCCGCGAUAAAAGAGGGGAGCUUCCCGUCGGUCCUCCUCGCCCCUCUCCCCCCGUGAAGAGCGACUUGGCAGGCAGUGUGGAGGUAAACAGCCUCUGAAGCGGCGCUCACCUGGCAGCUCCAGGGGAAACAUCAGAGGCAGCUGCUGCUCACCUGGCAGACAGGACCGACCUCUGACCCGGAUCAGAACCGUUUCAUCUGGAUCUGCAGAUCCACAACCA